rnacentral:rRNA from 1 species
UACGGGGGGGAGCAAGCGUUGUUCGGAUUUACUGGGCGUAAAGGGCGCGUAGGCGGCCACCGCAAGUCAGUUGUGAAAGCUCUGGGCUUAACCCAGAAAGGUCAACUGAUACUGCGGGGCUAGAGUGCAGAAGGGGCAACUGGAAUUCUCGGUGUAGCGGUGAAAUGCGUAGAUAUCGAGAGGAACACCUGCGGCGAAGGCGGGUUGCUGGGCUGACACUGACGCUGAGACGCGAAAAGCGUGGGGAGCGAACAGG